rnacentral:rRNA from 1 species
GAUCGAACGCUACGCGUAACAGGACUUAACACAUGCAAGUCGAGGGGCAGCACAGUGUAGCAAUACAUGGGUGGCGACCGGCGCACGGGUGCGUAACGCGUAUCCAACCUUCCCGUUACUCAGGGAUAGCCUUCCGAAAGGGAGAUUAAUACCUGAUGGUGUUUGAAUUCCGCAUGUUAUUCAAACUAAAGAUUUAUCGGUAACGGAUGGGGAUGCGUGACAUUAGAUAGUAGGCGGGGUAACGGCCCACCUAGUCUACGAUGUCUAGGGGUUCUGAGAGGAAGGUCCCCCACACUGGAACUGAGACACGGUCCAG